rnacentral:rRNA from 1 species
UGGGGAAUUUUGCGCAAUGGGCUAACGCCUGACGCAGCAACGCCGCGUGGAGGAUGAAGGUCUUUGGAUUGUAAACUCCUGUCAGCAGGGAAAAAGCGACUCAGCCUAAUACGCUGGGGAGUUGAUUGUACCUGCAGAGGAAGCCCCGGCUAACUCUGUGCCAGCAGCCGCGGUAAUACGGAGGGUGCGAGCGUUGUCCGGAAUCACUGGGCGUAAAGGGCGCGUAGGCGGCCGAGCAAGGUCGCGGUGAAAGCCCGGGGCUCAACCCCGGGUCGGCCGUGGCAACUACUUGGCUGGAGCACUGUAGGGGCGGGUGGAAUUCCGGGUGUAGCGGUGGAAUGCGUAGAGAUCCGGAAGAACACCGGUGGCGAAGGCGGCCCGCUGGGCAGGAAGGCUCGCAAGAGCCGGCUGACGCUGAGGCGCGACAGCGUGGGGAGCAAA